rnacentral:tRNA from 1 species
GGAAAGAGAGGGAUUCAC